rnacentral:rRNA from 1 species
GGGCUCGCGGCCUAUCAGCUUGUUGGUGAGGUAAUGGCUCACCAAGGCGUCGACGGGUAGCCGGCCUGAGAGGGUGACCGGCCACACUGGGACUGAGACACGGCCCAGACUCCUACGGGAGGCAGCAGUGGGGAAUAUUGCACAAUGGGCGGAAGCCUGAUGCAGCAACGCCGCGUGAGGGAUGACGGCCUUCGGGUUGUAAACCUCUUUUAGCAAGGAAGAAGCGAAAGUGACGGUACUUGCAGAAAAAGCGCCGGCUAACUACGUGCCAGCAGCCGCGGUAAUACGUAGGGCGCAAGCGUUAUCCGGAAUUAUUGGGCGUAAAGAGCUCGUAGGCGGUUUGUCGCGUCUGCUGUGAAAACUGGAGGCUCAACCUCCAGCCUGCAGUGGGUACGGGCAGACUAGAGUGCGGUAGGGGAGAUUGGAAUUCCUGGUGUAGCGGUGGAAUGCGCAGAUAUCAGGAGGAACACCGAUGGCGAAGGCAGAUCUCUGGGCCGUAACUGACGCUGAGGAGCGAAAGGGUGGGGAGCAAACAGGCUUAGAUACCCUGGUAGUCCACCCCGUAAACGUUGGGAACUAGUUGUGGGGGCCAUUC